rnacentral:tRNA from 1 species
AGGAACAUAGCUCAGUUGGUAGAGCACCUGCUUUAUGUACAGUAAGUCCCCAGUUCGAUUCUGGGUGUUCCAU